rnacentral:lncRNA from 1 species
UAAAAAGUAAAAGCAAAUACGUCAACUACUAAUUAGUCUAAACUAUUACAUGUGAAUCUAUAUUCACAUCAAAUCUUCUCUACUUUGACUUUGAUGGUUGGAGAAAAUUUCUUUCUCUUAUUUUUGCUUCCAGCGAUAAAUUUUUUCAAUGUGCAAUCAUCAUCAUCUUCAUCGUCAUCGCUUGUUAUGUCAAUAUAAUCAUCAAGAACUUUUUUGUGAUUUUUCGUUUCCCCCCUUCCUUGCA